AAAAUAAUAAAUUCUAAGUCCUUGAGCAUAUCGCACUAAAAAACGUUACUAAAAGUAUCUUUAAACAUGCUCAUUGAUUUUUAAUAAAAUAUUACAUUCGUCAAAUGCUGGUGGGAAGUUGAUUGGAAUUUUUAAGAAAUUUCGUCGACACGAAAAAUCACAUUGCAAAAUUUUUCGCCAAGAAACCUGGAACGUUCUUGAAACAAAGUAUCAGUUAUGUAAUUCAGUAAAUGUAUAUCGAAUCGAAGUGUAAAUCAGAACGAACAUUCCGAGCGACAUUUUCAAUUUUUUCGAUGACUCAAAAAAUACAAUUUGGAGUGUUGGUUUUUUCGCCUUCAAAGUGUUCAGAAUCUUGUAUAAUAGUUUUCGGCGUGCUCGUAUGUACAACGUCUGGGCUUCUUAAUGACAGGGAUAGCGAACGUAAGAGAAAUAAAUGAAACAAAGGGAAUCUUGCGUAGCUGGUCGAAAUGCAAAUUCCCAUAAAUGCGUAUUCCCUGCGAUCGCAAGUAUAAAAAUAAUAAUUUGCAAUGUUGAAAAAUAUUGCAUCAUUCGUUUUAUGUAUUACGUUGAGUUAGGAGUAGAUCUAGAGCAGUUUCAGUUUGUUGUUUGCAGAGUGAACGUUAUAAUUGUUGACUUUGUGCCAGCGGCGAAAUAAGAGUAAAACUUAAGAGUCCGGAAACCGACUUAUUCUUAAAGGAUAAGUAGGUUUGAAAAGCAUCAGGAUCAGGAUGUAAAAACGAAUGUUUAAACCGCUAUGGUUCUUAAGUUUGGGUGUUGUGAAAUUUCUUGAGAAGAGGUGAUGAAAGUGCGUUGAAAGUGCGUUCUAUGUCUGUGCUUGGAGACAGAAGAUUGAAAAUGAUAGCAGACGCGGCGAACACGAUGCGGAUGUUGGAGAGAAAAAAAGUGCGAAGAUGUGAUUCGCGAACUUAUUGGCUGAUCAAAGUGAACGGCUGGUAGUUGAGGCAAGCGCGUCGUGCCUUCAGACGAAGGUACAUUCCACUCUUGAAGCUAUCCACUGAUACUGCAUUGCUGAUCAGAGUGUCGCAGGUGUCGAAGUACGUGUUCAGUUUGUCGAUAUUCACGGAUUCGAAUUUCACACCUGGCACUUGCAGUUCGCUCUGAGAGUACUGAGGCUGGAAUUUCUUGUAUCUGCGCGAACAUAACGCGUAACAAUUAUUUGUUGCAGGAUAGCAAAAUUUAGCUCUUCGUCGAGACUUCUGCUUGUAACGAUACGAGUACGUUAAUAACGAUCUGAUGUCGUUCACAUAUCUUUCUGACAUCUUCUAAACAGCCAACAUACCUGAAGAAAAGUCGAAGUUGAAGCCAAGGAUGUCGCGUGCAAGUGCGUCGUACAUGCCGUAGAAUCUGGUGUUACAAGAGUCUACAUUCCCUUCUAUCACGUUGCCGAGUAUGUUCAAACCUUCCGAUGUGUAGAUGUCUACCUUCUUUCCAUAUUGGUCUAUCAGAUAGCCAGAGUCGAUGGCGUCCAUUAUACGCAACUCCAGGGCAUUGAUUUCCUGGAGAAUCGAACGUGCACUUUGAAUUUUCAUUUUACUCUUCGUACCAGACAUCACGAUCGUUAUUUUUGGAAGAUUCAACGUAUACUUUGAAUUUUCUUCUUUGUUACUUAUAUCGGCCGUUGUUGGCAUGUUUUGCCCCUGCUAAUGAUUCUUGCAAAGUAAUUAAUUUGCCUUUUAUCGACGAUGGCUUUGCGAAUUAUAUUAUUGAAAUUUUUUCAGUUUAAACUGAAGGUUGUCAGGUUUUAAGUAAGUACUAGCUGUUUUUCUUGUAAUUAACUUAGUCCUAAAGAAGCAAACUUUUAAGCUUGUUGUUAUUGAGAUAAAAUGUAAUACUCACCUUAAGAUACUUGUAUUUAUAAUAGGGUAGAGCCGAAUAUCUGUCUCUUUGUGGGAAAGGUAUGCCAUUGGGGUACAUCAUCGUGGAGAAGUAUCCAGGGUAGAUUGACUUGUUCCAGUCGAAGUCCUCUAUUUUACCAAGGUCGUUUGACAUUCGUUCAAGGAAGUACCUAGCCAAUAACUGCUGGUGGAUGAAAUAAUAAAAUUGUCCACGUAUCUCUUUAGGCAUGUUGUAUUUGCUGCUGGACAUCCAGAAGGGGAAUAUCUGUCGGAUGUAGUAGUAAUACGCGUUCAUUCCGAUAUCCUCCAUGAAGUAGUCGAGUUUAUAUUCGUCGUCCAUGUAUGGCAUCAUGUAACUGCUCGAGUAGUUGGCGGUCACUACGUAAGUUUCGAUGUUGCCCAUUCCGGCACCAGUUCCUGAAAGAAGAAGGUUGACUUUAUUUAUUUCAAAUCGAAGGAUGGGGACUUUUCCAAGACUUUCCGCUAUUAGAA